GUUAAAGGGAGGUCUCUGUACUAGUCAAGCCAGACACUCUUUAGGUGGCUGACUUGGCUUACGCAGGAGUCUGGGGGAAAAGCCUCCCAUGGAACCUAAUGAUCAAAAUAAGCAAAGGAUUCAACUGUCAGUUUAUUACACCCUGACUAACUGGGGAGAAGGGGCACUUUGAAGAAGACGUUGGAAGUUGUUCCAAGAGUGGCCACCAGCAUGAAGGGAGAAGAUGCUGUUAAGUUCAUGCUAUACAAAUAGAGAAGUUUAGAUAAAAACAUAAAAUAGUAUUGCUGGAAGAUUGCAGUAUAUAGCUCCUUUAAUUCAUAGAAUCCAGAACAAUAACACACAGUAACCAAACCC